AAAAGUAGUCUGGGACAAAUUUUGGCUGCUAACUAAAAUUUAGGCGGCUCGAUUCCGUUUUUCUUUUU
rnacentral:tRNA from 1 species